rnacentral:snRNA from 1 species
GUGGAUCACAGCGAUCAU